CUCGGAAACUCAUUUUAAUGAAUGUCAACUAGGGGCUUAAUAUGUAUUGAAAUCAUAAGCCACAUUAUGGGGGGGACAAACUUUGUUAAAGACAAAAAAGAAAAAGUUAAGGUACAAAUGACAGCAAAAGAAGACGCUGCAAAAUCCAAACCGGGAAAGAGAAAGUGACAUUACACACACACACACGUACGAAAUUGAUCUUUUAAGUAUCGAUGUUGAGUUUAUAUUAAGCAUCGAUAAUGUAUCAUAUAAAUCCAUCGGUGGAUAAAGUUCGGUCAGUUGAAAAGUCGAUAAAAUUUUAACCAUGUUUUAUGAAACAAGGACAUAAUGCGUGGUGCAUGUUGAACAGAAAGAGAGUUAGAGAUGAAAUAAACUAACCUGAUAUGCAGAAGAUGCCGUCCCAAAAACAAAACCCUUUGGAAAACUUGCUCUGCUAAUGUUUUGUCCACAGCAUAUCAUAAUCUGGAGCACAACACCCACAACAAAUGUGGUUAUCAAUCCUAAGUUUCUACUUCCCAACAUUAUAUGCAGAUAGAAAGAGAGAGAGAAAGAGGUGAAAGUUUCUAAACACUAUCUAUAGAGAGAGGAAGACAGAGAUUAUAUGAGUGUAUUCAAGAAAAGUUGUAUGAUCCAAAUUGUUGGCUGUUGAGUGAAGCAACAAU
rnacentral:lncRNA from 1 species